AGUGAACGCUGGCGGUAGGCCUAGCACAUGCAAGUCGAACGGCAGCACCGUACGAGCUUGCUCUUCCGGGUGGCGAGUGGCGGACGGGUGAGGUAUACAUCGGAAUCUACUUUUUCGUGGGGGAUAACGUAGGGAAACUUACGCUCAUAUCGCAUACGACCUACGGGUGAAAGCAGGGGAUCUUCGGACCUUGCGCGAUUGAAUGAGCCGCUGUCGGAUUAGCUAGUUGGCGGGGUAAAGGCCCACCAAGGCGACGAUCCGUAGCUGGUCUGUGAGGAUGAUCAGCCACACUGGAGCGGGGACACGGACCAUGCUCCUACGGGAGGCAGCAGUGGGGAAUAGUGGGCAAUGGGCGCAAGCCUGAUCCAGCCAUACCGCGUGGGUGGAGAAGGCCUUCGGGUUGUAAAGCCCUUUUGUUGGGAAAGAAAAGCAGCAGGUUAAUACCCCGCUGUUCUGACGGUACCCAAAAAAUAAGCACCGGCUAACUUCGUG
rnacentral:rRNA from 1 species